CAGAUCAGCGUCUGCUGUGCCGAGGUGAGAGCCACCUGAUGAUGUUCCAAUCGUCCUACUGCCAGCUGACACCUCCACAGGAGAAAGAAGGGCUCGAAUCCUGACAGGCAAGCCCAAGAGAGAAGAGGAAAUUGAGUGUGGCAGGCAAGGGACAAACACGACGCCAAAGAGCUCCCAGCAAGGGCCCGAGCAGGUCCGGUGCAGACAGCUGGGCGCUUCGAAGGGAUGAGCCCCUCAGGCACUGGGUCAGAGGAAGCCGCUGAGCAGGAGAAGGAAAGGCCCCCUCGAUCCGUGUGGAUGAUCAACCCCCCAAAUCCCCAGAGCCUCAAACAGUGGCUCAAGGAGCCAAAGCCAAAGAUCAAGGAUCAGCUUGUUUUAAUCCAAAAAAGAAAAAAAACAAACAAACAAGUAGAGACAUCUUGGACAUUCACCAGAGUUUUUAAAAGACAUUUUUACGGGUAAAAAUUAGGAAACUGCUAUGGGAAAUAUUACACUCUGUGACCCUGUACCCGAAAAGCCUCCAGGUGUGGCACUUCACAGAGAAGAGGUCUCACCUGUCCAGCAGAUACCUAGACGGGUCUGAGAGGAGAGACCAAGAGCUCAGAAAGGAAACCAGACAGACGGAUCCUCUCAGAUGUGGGCAAGAAAUCUCACAGUUUCACUGCUUUACAGACGCGGCUCGGCGGUGCUGGCAAGAUUGUUCAGCAUUGAGACACUGGGCAAAGAGACAGAAAACAAAAGAAACAGGCACUUCUCUGCCCAGAGCAGGGGUGGGGAAAACCAGGCCCCCGAGGAAGCAGCACAGACAACAACCCUGAAAACAACCCAAAUGCUCCCUGCUGGCAGGCCACAUGAUGAAGCGUGGGACAGCGCCACCUUGGAACACUGCAAGCAGGGGACAGAAGGAGGGACCUGCAGCACACGCAGCACUCCGGUGAGUCUCAGAAGAGCGACUGGCACCCAGCUCCACGUACACAAAGGGCAGAGUCGGCCAAACCAGCCACCCGCUGUUCAAGGAGGCAGACAAGUGCAGGGAGGCAACAAAGAAAAACCAGGAAUGGUCAGGCCACAGUGCAGACUCCUGGCAGGAGGCGGGACGAACCAGGGAGCGGAACAGCUUCUGGUUAACACUCCUGUAAGUAACCUGGAGCACAAUCUCCAAGUCUACUGAGGAAGCUAGCAUGCUCUGUGCAGAAGUCCCAAAGAGAAGGCGGAAGGACAGGAGACCUUCCAGACCCAGGGAGGAGCCAGGGACUAAAGCUGUGCAACACUUGCUGAGUACCCCCUCACAUCACCUGACCAGAGACUGGGCAAACGGAGCAGGACCACACGGCCUGGUGACUACGGCAACAGCGCCUGAAGCAGGGCUUCGGAGGGUUCGGCCCACAGGAGAUGCCCAGAAAAUACCACUCUGUGCUAACAAAUAGAAGACAACAGAAGCCAGGGCCUCUCCACCUGGGAGGGCAGGCGGGCAUCACGCAACAGAAGUGAAAUCCCAGGAACGCCCCCAAGAGGGGAAGAAGGGCAGAGUUAAAGCCACUCAGCGAAAAUAUCAAAGUCCAAAACACAUCAUGGGCUGGCCCCGUGGCCGAGUGGUUAAGUUCACGCGCUCCGCAGCAGGCGGCCCGGUGUUUCGUUGGUUCGAAUCCUAGGCGCAGACAUGGCACUGCUCAUCAAACCAUGCUGAGGCAGCGUCCCACAUGCCACAACUAGGAGGACCCACAACGAAGAAUAUACAACUAUGUACCGGGGGGCUUUGGGGUGAAAAAGGAAAAAAUAAAAUCUUAGAAAAAAACAAAUAAAUACAACACAUCAGCCCCGUGCAGCCCUGCCGCCUCCAAUUCACAGUCUGCUCAACCCUGAGUUUGUCUUUCCCAAACACUGAUCUCAAGUGACUCCCCUGCUCACAGCUUUCAAUAGAUUCCUGAUGCCAGGAUAAAGUCCACGCUCCAAGCUGUCCUGCAGAGCGCUUCCCACAGGGGGCCCCGGCCCACCUCUCAGCUCGGCCCCUUCCAGGCACAGCUCAGUGCCCCCUCUUCUGUGAAGCAGGCCCUGCAUUUCUCCCCUGCCCAACGUCAGCACUAGCCAGUCAGCUGCUGCCCUCCACACACCUCCCCUUCUGCCCAUGCUCCCCCCACCCCCACAGCCAGACUCCAAGGUUAGGGACCCUGCGUCCCAGAAGGCAGCAACGAGCCCAGCAGCUGCAGCAGGCGUGCAGCAGGCGUGCGCCCUCAUAAACGUUUAUUAGGUGAGCAGGCGGUCAGGAAGAAGCAGUGCGGAGAAGAGAUAGGGCGGGACAAUACUGGAGAGAAGAGAAGGUGGCGGGAAGGGGGGAUGAUAAAGGAGGGAAUCUGCUGCCCAGCCCUGCCCUCGUCAGCAGUUCCAAAACUGUUGUUUACAUUCUGAAAAAUGAGUAGGGGCUCCCAAACAACUUUUGUUUUAUGUGGGCCUAUAUGUUACUACGGUAGAUGUUACUGUUCUAUCUACUGUAUUAGAAAAACUGGUAAUUCAAAAAAGUAACAGAAUAUUAACAAUAAAUCCAUUUUAUCUUAACACAAAUAGCAUUUUUUAUAAAAAAGAAUGAUUCCAAAGGAAAAAAAUUAGUGAGAACAGUGGCACUGUUUUACAUUUUUGCAAAUCUCUUUAACGUCUGGCUUAAUAAAAGCAGCCGGACUGCUAUCUGCUCGGCACUCAGUCUGUCAGGGCGCAUGGUUUUGACUAAGGUCUGCGAAGACCUUCCAGAGAUAGAAGGGAGCGGUAUUUCAACCUUUUC
ensembl:lncRNA